UCUCCAGAUUUGCAGUUUCUCUCACUCUAGCUCUCGCUCGAAUUCUCUCUGUCGCAGUCUCACUCUCGCUCUUGCUCAAAUUCUCUCACUCUUACUCUCUGUACUCAUCUCUUCAUCAGAUUCGAAGGUUGAUUCUUGAAGAUUCGAAGGUUGAUUCUCCAGAUUUGUAGUUGUCUCUUUCGAUUUUAUCUCAUCGUUCAUCAAUUGGUCGAUUAAUCUACAUGAAACCUGUUUGAGAUUUGGCUUCUCAAAUCUGUUCAAAAGAGGCUCUUAGAAUUCAUACUUGCUGCAUUCCAUCGAUCUCCUGAUUUUGUUACACUUCUGAAGGUAUUCUCCUGACCAAAUUAUGCCUAAACUUUUCGGUUGCAAGUCAAUUAUGUUGGAGCUUUAUUGAUUACUUACCUUAGUAUCAUUGUUACCUGCUAUGUCGAAUGUAAUUCUAGAUCUGGAAAAUGGAAAGUAGGA